AUCACAUUUUAAAUCAAUAUCAUAUUCUAACUUAACAUGUUUCUCAAACUGCUGAAAAACAACUCCAAAGUCUAAUAGAUACAUAUCAAUGAGUAAACAGAGCU